rnacentral:rRNA from 1 species
CAGUCGCCACGGGAAUACGAAGGGGGCUAGCGUUGUUCGGAAUCACUGGGCGUAAAGCGCACGUAGGCGGAUUUUUAAGUCAGGGGUGAAAUCCCGAGGCUCAACCUCGGAACUGCCUUUGAUACUGGAGAUCUUGAGUUCGGAAGAGGUUGGUGGAACAGCUAGUGUAGAGGUGAAAUUCGUAGAUAUUAGCUAGAACACCAGUGGCGAAGGCGGCCAACUGGUCCGACACUGACGCUGAGGUGCGAAAGCGUGGGGAGCAAACAGGAUUAGAGACCCCAGUAGUCCCUGUCUCUUAUAC